rnacentral:rRNA from 1 species
GAAAGUCUGAUGGAGCAACGCCGCGUGAAUGAAGAAGGCCUUCGGGUCGUAAAAUUCUGUUGUCAGAGAAGAACGUGCGUGAGAGUAACUGUUCACGUAUUGACGGUAUCUGACCAGAAAGCCACGGCUAACUACGUGCCAGCAGCCGCGGUAAUACGUAGGUGGCGAGCGUUGUCCGGAUUUAUUGGGCGUAAAGGGAACGCAGGCGGUCUUUUAAGUCUGAUGUGAAAGCCUUCGGCUUAACCGAAGUAGUGCAUUGGAAACUGGAAGACUUGAGUGCAGAAGAGGAGAGUGGAACUCCAUGUGUAGCGGUG